CGAUCGACUGCACACAUAUUGCUAUAAAGGCGCCAUCUGAAGACGAAUUUGCAUAUGUGAAUCGGAAACAUUUCCAUUCAAUAAAUGUGCAGAUUAUAUGUGAUGCACAAAUGCGCCUAACAAAUAUUGUGGCAAGGUGGCCUGGGUCAACCCAUGAUUCAUAUAUCCUUACAAACAGCAUGGUUGGGAUGAGACUCCAAGCUGGCAGGGUGCGCGAUGGGUGGCUACUUGGAGACAGUGGUUAUCCACUAAAGACGUGGCUGUUAACCCCCUCACCAACCCACAAACUGACCGAGAGCGCAGAUACAAUGAUGCCCAUUCCCGCACUCGGUCAGUUGUGGAGCGGGCGAUUGGGCAGCUGAAAUGUCGGUGGCGCUGCCUUGACAGGACCGGGGGAUGCUGUUAUACCGCCCUGACAAGGUUUGCCGCAUCAUACUGGCCUGUGGAGUGCUGCACAAUGUCGCGCACAGGCAUGGCAUACCCCUUGGUGAGGUGGGGGCACCGCCAGAUGACCCUGACCCAGGACCAGUAUAUGUGCAGCACAAUCAACAAGCCAUUCAGGCCCGUCAACGUGUAAUUGCGACAAUAUAAAUGGUACUCAGACACAAAGUUCAUUUUUUGACCAAUUCUUUUAAUGAAUGGCUUAUUUCUGUGAGUGCGUCAGUGACAUUUUUAAGGUGACUGUUCAUUUCUUCAAUGGCCCUAACAAUUUGUUGUUGUGACUCCAGAACAGCAUGCGUCAAGACACGGCCAGAUGGACGGGCUUCAGCACUGGGGGGAACAUUAGAGACACGGGAGACGCUGGACUGAAUGGGCUCUGGCUGCUCAGGUGGUGCGGACUCUGAGUGCGUGCCAGUGGACGUUCCUGCGGUUCCUAAGUCCAAUUAAACACAGGCACAUCUUAACAGUAAUUUGAGUCUGUUCCUUAUUAAUGGGUACACGCAUUUGCAAUAAAAGCAGUGGAUACGUGAAAUCUCUGGUGUACCUUUUGCUAUAUUGCAUGCAUUUUAAAAUUAAACGGUGGCUGGCUAUGUAUAUCAAAGUUAAGGAAAUAAAUCUGAGUCACCUUG